GACGAACGCUGGCGGCGUGCUUAACACAUGCAAGUCGAACGGUAAGGCCCUUCGGGGUACACGAGUGGCGAACGGGUGAGUAACACGUGGGUGAUCUGCCCUGCACUUCGGGAUAAGCCUGGGAAACUGGGUCUAAUACCGGAUAGGACCACUGCCUGCAUGGGUGGUGGUGGAAAGCUUUUGCGGUGUGGGAUGGGCCCGCGGCCUAUCAGCUUGUUGGUGGGGUGAUGGCCUACCAAGGCGACGACGGGUAGCCGGCCUGAGAGGGUGACCGGCCACACUGGGCCGGAGAUACGGCCCAGACUGCUACGGGAGGCAGCAGUGGGGAAUAUUGCGCAAUGGGCGCAAGCGUGAUGCAGCGACGCCGCGUGGGGGAUGACGGCCUUCGGGUUGUAAACCUCUUUCAGCACCGACGAAGCGCAAGUGACGGUAGGUGCAGAAGAAGGACCGGCCAACUACGUGCCAGCCGCCGCCGUAA
rnacentral:rRNA from 1 species